rnacentral:rRNA from 1 species
AGUGAACGCUGGCGGCGUGCUUAACACAUGCAAGUCGAACGAGAACGGAUUAUAGCUUGCUAUAAUUGUCAGCUAAGUGGCGCACGGGUGAGUAAUGUAUAGGUAAUAUGCCUCUUACUAAGGGAUAACAAAUGGAAACGUUUGCUAAUACCUUAUACUCCUUAUUGACAGAAGUUAAUAAGGGAAAGAUUUAUUGGUAAGAGAUUAGCCUGUAUUGUAUCAGUUAGUUGGUGGGGUAAUGGCUUACCAAGACUAUGACACAUAACUGGUUUGAGAGGAUGAUCAGUCACACUGGAACUGAGACACGGUCCAGACUCCUACGGGAGGCAGCAGUGGGGAAUAUUGCACAAUGGGCGAAAGUCUGAUGCAGCAACGCCGCGUGGAGGAUGACACAUUUCGGUGCGUAAACUCCUUUUAUAUGAGAAGAUAAUGACGGUAUUAUAUGAAUAAGCACCGGCUAACUCCGUGCCAGCCGCCGCUGUAAUAC